rnacentral:tRNA from 1 species
UUUCAGUUGGCUCAAUGGAUAGAGCACUGGGCUCUUGAUCUUGGGGUUGUGAGUUUGAGUCCCACCUUGGAUA